UAAAGAGUCCUAAAGGUGGCCCAGA
rnacentral:piRNA from 1 species